rnacentral:pre_miRNA from 1 species
GAGUUUUGUUUUGUUUGGGUUUGUUCUAGGUAUGGUCCCAGGGAUCCCAGAUCAAACCAGGCCCCUGGGCCUAUCCUAGAACCAACCUAAAC